rnacentral:lncRNA from 1 species
GAGUGGAGAUAGAGGAUUCGGUAGAGGAAGUUACCUUUGUUGCUGCUGGUGGUGGUAACAGUGAAUUUAGAGGAGAUAUGAGAAAUAAUAGGCUUGUACUUGUACAAUGAUAUAUAAAAUGGUGUAACAGUAUUUCACUUACCUUUGUUAUUAUAGGGUUAGUGUUGUUGGAACUAUGUUAUCAAUUUUAAUGCUUAAACUUUUGUUCUUGAAUCAACAAAUGUUGAAAAUGUUGUUUUUGUUUCUUACUGAGCAUGCUUUUUUGUCAUAU